UAAACAUCAACGUCACUGCAGGGUGGAAGUCUCUCGGUCUCUCCCGACUAUACAGUGAAAAAAGGGCAGGCGACGCGAGAGGGGUCUUUCCGGCGGGCCGCCGUCGGGCUCUGGGAGGUGGGCGAGACUGCGGACGGCCGCGCCGCGGUUGUAGAUAAUGGUGUUUUAGGACAUAAUUCUGGCGUUGGCGGGCAGGCGGGGCGACUUCGACGUAGUGGAAUGAGGUUCCUCCGGCUCCUUCCCCGUCGUGGCGGUGCUCCCUCUGAUGGCGCUGCGGCGCUAGGGAGGUUGGUCUCUCUCUGAUCCAGGCAUCCGGAGAGGUUUGAUCGGUGAAGGGGUGUACAGUACAGGAGUUGGGAUUUGUGGAGAGGGAUUCCCAGAUCCGGUCACCACGGACGACCGGCAGCUGCGGACUGUAUUGGACGAAGUUGUUGGAGCUGCUCCUUCACUCCGGCGUAGGCUGGUGCUGGUGGCAGCUUCAAGGAAGGGGAGCACGGGGUACCCCCGGCUGAUGCACCGAACCCGCCCCUGGUUCCGUCUUUUGCUUCGGGACUUAUAUGCGGCUCACAAAGCCAUGGAUUGGCGAUAGUGCUCCUCAUGACCAUCGUCUCGUGGACGACGACUCUUCCUCUCACCGGCGGGUGCACAGAUCGGCGUGCUUCAGUGAAGAAGGAAGAUGAGCUAGGCUCAAUGGAGUUUAGCACGGGUUUUUCCUCCAUGAGUAGGCCACCGAGGAUAUCUGCCAGUGGCGACCUGCUCGUCCCGAUGCCUACGGUGCACUGAGGGUAGGUGUCGUCUUUCCCUAUCGUGCUGCAUACGGAAGCCCCAGUCUCGAAAUCUCAGGAUGAAAAAAGAAGAAAAAGAUGAUUCAGUUAUCAAGAGGAUGUCUGAACUCUGAACUUGAAGGACAGGAAAUAAAACAUGAGGAUAAUGGAA